GAAGUCCAUAAACAACACUCAUAAAAUUAGGGAACCUAUUGCAACUGUAUUUGAUAAUCAUAAAAUAAAAGCAGCAUUGUCACUCGAAACAUAACAGCCACAGACCCCCCACCACUGACAAAGGAAAAGAAGAAGAAGAAAGAAAAAUUCAAUUGAAAGAAAACCCCACAACAGUUUGAAUUGACUUCUCUAUAUACAAGGGUAUCUCUUUCUCCUCUA
rnacentral:misc_RNA from 1 species